ensembl:lncRNA novel transcript
GACUGUGGCCCUGAAGAGAGGAAGGGCCUCCUGGGGCUGGACCACCCCCUGGUGGGCUCAAGAAGACAGAGGGGGCCUUGGACUGGGGACAGCCAGCAAGCCUGGUAUGCCCCUGCUGGGACUGCCCUGCUGAGUCUAUUGUUAGGGUGCCCUUUGUUUGCCUGACCACGGGAGGCCUGCAGGACAGGAUGGUCUGGGGACAACCUCAGAACAGGAGGUCUGGGCUCCUUCUCUGCUUCCUUCCUUGGAGUUUCUUGUGUGAGAGAGGAAAGGGCUGCCCAGGCCGCACCACAGGAAUCGUGAGACCAUAACUGGGGCUGUUUUAAGCCUGCAGGGGUGUGGAAGUUGUGGUGCAGGGACAGAACCCAGACCAGCCUCUGGGAGAGAGGAUGGGGAGCUCCCUGGGCCCUCUCCUGUCCCUACAGUUCACAGCCCAUGCACCAGAACUGGUCACAGGGCACAGGCACAACCCCCUGCAGGGAUCAGGGGCCCCGGGGAGUGCACAGGCCCUUGGGGAGGACCAAGGCCUCCUCUGCUGCCAUUGGGAUGGCACAGGUUCUGAAGGGCAGGUGUAGCCCCUGCAGGGUACAAGCAGAGGGUGACAUCCUCUGACACAGGCUGGGGAGGGACCCCAGGCAGUUGUGUGGGGAGUGCAGGGCCUGGAUGCAGGCAGCAGCCUGGGGUGUGUCCUGCAAGACCACAAGGAGAGGCCAUGGGUGCGGAAGAGGAUCCCAGGGUGAAUCUCAGGAAAGCAGCACUGGGACACGUCUGCCGCUAAGGUUAUUCUAAAGGCAGAAGCACAGGGACUUCCUGAAAGGCUGCGUAGAAGCGAGAGGCUUGGGCUCGGCUGCCUGGAAGAAGGGAGGCGCCCUGUUCUUGGAGGCCAGAGGAUGAGAGCGAGGCAGGCUAAGGAAGAAAUCAUGGCCCAGCCUGGGCCUGGGGCAGGGGCCUGGCUGGGGAAACUCCUGGCUCAGGAGCAGAGCACGGGAGGAGAAGCACAGCUGGCCCCUGCUCUCCAGGCCUCUGGGAGGUUGGGAAGUGCAUGAAAGCACCUCUGAGUCUUGGGUUCUCCAUCUGCACAGUGGGCAGGAUGAUGACGGGCCCUUCUUCCCUAGAAGGAACUUUUUAGGCACAAAUGAGGAAAUAACAUGGAAAGACUUGGAGGCUUCGCCCACAUAAGGCAGGAGAUCACUCCAAGGAAAUGGACCUCCCUGAUGGUGGCUUCCCCCGUUCCCUGUAACUGCCUGUGACUGAUGAGCCAUCAGCAGGGAUGGGAGGGAUGGAGCCUCGGACAUCAUUUACUCACUUCUGCUUGUUAAAUAACUCAGGACCUGGGGCCGCUUCUCAGGGCUGGGGCUGAGUCUCCGUGCCCACCGU